rnacentral:piRNA from 1 species
UGUAUUCCUUAUACUUAGCGA